GUACAUUUUCCAGUUAUCUGUGUACUGCCCAGAUGAUAUACCUGGAGUAUUUGGACCGCUGACCACAUUAAGCAAGUACUUAGGGAAAAACCAUCAUGCUACAAUGGAGAUAGUAUGGAUAUUAUGCGUUUUGGCUCAUUUCCUGGAGGCAGCUGUGGCCGUCGUUAAAUGCAGG